rnacentral:rRNA from 1 species
UGGGGAUGACGUCAAGUCAUCAUGCCCCUUAUGUUCUGGGCUACACACGUGCUACAAUGGCCGGUACAGACGACGCAAAGCCGCGAGGUGGAGCAAAUCCUAAAAAGCCGGUCUCAGUUCGGAUUGCAGGCUGCAAUUCGCCUGCAUGAAGUCGGAAUCGCUAGUAAUCGCAGGUCAGCAUACUGCGGUGAAUACGUUCCCGGGCCUU